rnacentral:rRNA from 1 species
GUUGAUAAGGUUAAGUGAAUAAGGGCGCACGGUGGAUGCCUUGGCACUAGGAGCCGAUGAAGGACGGGACUAACACCGAUAUGCUUUGGG